GCCUGGGUGGCUCAAUCGGUUAAGCAUCUGACUUCCACUCAGGUCAUGAUCUCAUGGUCUGUGAGUUCGAGCCCCACAUCAGGCU
rnacentral:tRNA from 1 species